AGUCUUAUAUUCAAUAAUGAUUUUAGAUUGCAAAUCUAAAGGUAAAAGUAAAUUUUUAAGGCUU
rnacentral:tRNA from 1 species